rnacentral:rRNA from 1 species
GGUUCGGCCGAUUGGUCCGUUCUUGUAGCGAGUACUGGUCGGUUGGGCCUCACCGCUUGGUGAUGCGUAAUGUCCUUUAUUGGGUGUUGCGAGUAGCCAAGACCUUUACCUUGAAAAAAUUAGAGUGUUUAAAGCAGGCUUAUGCCAGAAUACAUUAGCAUGGAAUAAUAGAAUAGGACGAUUUAUCUAUUUUGUUGGUUUCUAGGAAAAUCGUA